rnacentral:misc_RNA from 1 species
GUGAUUGACUUUCCAUAACAAGUUGAGUUGGAGAAACAAUUGAACUUGUACUUUUUUCCCAAAAGAAAAAGGUAGCUAUUUGACACAUUAAUUUUAUGGGUUCUUUUCUCAUUUGGUCGUUGGAACAUUUGAAGAUAGUGGAUUAUUGAUUGCCUCCAAAUUGAAAUAUUUGUGUUUGGCUUGUGUCUCUACCCCCCCUCAAAUGGAUGUUUGUUUUGCAAAUGUCUCCUAAGUGUGUUGUAUCAAUAUUCUACUUAAAAUUUGAAGAGGUUCAUUAUAUUUCAAUUUAACUUCAUUAUUUUAUUGAAAUUUAAUGAAAUGAACCAUGAGCAUGUCUUAUUUAAGUUAUCGAGUCGAUAAAGGCAGUUAAUCCAAGUGGGGUUGUGCAAUGGUCAGUUCGAUUCCAAGUCGAAUUGAAGAAACCAAAAACCAAAUUUCUUUAUUUUUAUGAACCAAACUGAGCCAUAAUAUUAAAGGAACCAAAAUUUUGAUUUGGUUCAAUUUAAUUGGUUUUAAGCCAAUGUUAAAUCUAAGUACUCAUUCAAAGCAAACAAUAAAAAGAAAGAAAAAAAAGGUGCAUUAGAAAUCAUCCAUACAUAAUUGAAACCUUAUACAUAAUAGAAAUCAAAUCCCAUAAUACAAUCAAAAUCAAAAGACAAAGCAAAUCGCAACAGAAGAAGCGAACCCCAACAAAGAAGAAACCAAAUCCCAACGAAAAGAAAAUCACAACAAAAAGAAAAUCACAACAUAGGGCAAUAGAUAAGACUUUAGAGGACUUGACAUCUUGAGGAGGCAUAGGUCUCAGAGUCGGCGUUGUGGAUUGGGUGGGAGAGGAGAAACUGAAAUGGGGGAGAAGAGAAUAGUUGAGAUGUAUUAGCACAGAUAUUGGAUGGAUAAGAAGAAAUUGAAGAUUAAUAAUAGAAGCAUAAGAAUAAUAGAUAUGCAAUUGAAGAGGGAGAAGAAAUUGAAGAAGAAGAAUGAACAAAUUGAAGCAAUCAAAGUGACAGAACAACGAAGAAGAAGAAGAGAGGACUGUCAUUGUGUUGUCUUUGAGAGAAAAAAUGAGUUAGAUUAGGGUUUAACAAAUGUAUAUAUAAGUUUGGUUCCUUUUUUUGGUUUUUGAAGAAAAUAAUUGGACCAAAUCGAAAUUUGAAAUUACCUAAAAUCUAAAAUCAAAACUAAACCGCUUCGAUCAAAAAACUGAAUCGUCUGAGCCAAAUUGGUUUGGUUUAAAUCGUCGAACUGGUUCGGUUUUUCGGUUUAAACUAAAGCUGCACAGCCAUAGAUCCAAGUUGGCAUGUUGACUUUAUCUUCCAAAUUAAUGUGCUCGCUUAAUUGUGUAGGCUUCAAAUAGGAAAAUUGGCUAUUAAGUAAUUUAUUGAGAUUGUCGAAGCUGAGAGGCUUAAAAUUAGGGUCAAAGGAGGCUUGCAUAGAUGGUGCCACAUGGCGUGCAUAGAGCGCCACAUGGGUUUUUGUGGAAAG